UGGGGAAUCUUAGACAAUGGGGGCAACCCUGAUCUAGCCAUGCCGCGUGAGUGAUGAAGGCCUUAGGGUUGUAAAGCUCUUUCAGCUGGGAAGAUAAUGACGGUACCAGCAGAAGAAGCCCCGGCUAACUCCGUGCCAGCAGCCGCGGUAAUACGGAGGGGGCUAGCGUUGUUCGGAAUUACUGGGCGUAAAGCGCACGUAGGCGGACCAGCAAGUUAGGGGUGAAAUCCCGGGGCUCAACCCCGGAACUGCCCUUAAAACUGUUGAUCUGGAGUUCGAGAGAGGUGAGUGGAAUUCCGAGUGUAGAGGUGAAAUUCGUAGAUAUUCGGAGGAACACCAGUGGCGAAGGCGGCUCACUGGCUCGAUACUGACGCUGAGGUGCGAAAGCGUGGGGAGCAAACA
rnacentral:rRNA from 1 species